ensembl:lncRNA
AGCUUGAGUACCAUGCCAAGUUUGGGCUCUGGGGCUACCCAGAAUAGAAAGUUCCUAUUAGGGCUGAUCCCAGGAGGUGUGGGGCUGAGACUUUUGAAGCUAACACUUUUCCAGCCCGUGGAAUUUUGAAUAUUCUCUAGUUUUCUAAUCAUCCUCUCCCUACAAAGAUCGAGAUUCACAGUCCCUUGCUGUUGUUCAGUCACUCAGUCGUGUCUAACUUUUUGUGACCCCAUGGACUGCAGCACACCAGGCUUCCCUGUCCUUCACCGUCUCCCAGAGUUUGCUGAAAUUCAUGUCCAUUGAGUUGGUGACGCCAUCCAACCAUUUCAUCUUCUUCUGGCUUCAGUCUUUCCCAGCAUCAGGGUCUUUUCCAAUGAGUCAGCCCUUCCCAUCAGGUGGCCAAAGUACUGGAGCUUCAGCUUCAUUAUCAGUCCUUCUGAUGAAUAUUCAGGACUGAUUUCCUUUGGAAUUGACUGGUUUGAUCUCCUUGCAAUCCAAGGGACUCUCAAGAGUUUUCUCCAAAGCCACAGUUUAAAAGCAUCGAUUCUUCGGUGCUCACCCUUCUUCAUGGUUCAACUCUCAUAUCCAUUCAUAACUAUUGGAAAAACCACAGCUUUGACUAUGCAGACCUUUGUCAGCAAAGUAAUGUCUCUGCUUUUUAAUAUGCUGUCUAGGUUUGUCAUAGCUUUUCUUCCAAGGAGCAAGUGUCUUAAUUUCAUGGCUGCAGUCCCCAUCUGCAGUGAUUUUGGAGCCCAAGAAAAUAAAGUCUCUCACUGAUUCCAUUGUUUCCCCAUCUAUUUACCAUGAAGUGAUGGGAUCAGAUGCCUUUUCUGAAUGUUGAAUUUUAAGCCAGCUUUUUCACUCUCCUCUUUCACUUUCAUCAAGAGGCUAUUCAGUUCCUCUUUGCUUUCUGCCAUAAGGGUGGUGUCAUCUGCAUAUCUGAGGUUAUUGAUAUUUCUCCUGGCAAUCUUGAUUCCAGCUUGUGCUUCAUCCAGCCUGGCAUUUCGCAUGAUGUACUCUGCAUAUAAGUUAAAUAAGCAGGGUGACAAUAUACGGCCUUGGUGUACUCCUUUCCCAAUUUGGAACCAGCUCGUUGUUCCAUGUCCAGUUCUGUUGCUUCUUGACCUGCAUAUAGAUUUCUCAGGAGGCAGGUCAGGUGGUCUGGUAUUUCCAAUCUCUUGAAGAAUUUUCCACAGUUUGUUGUGAUCCACACCGUCAAAGGUUUCAGCAUAGUCAAUGAAGCAGAAGUAGAUGUUUUUCUAGAAUUCUUUUAGUUUUUCUAUAAUCCAGGGGAUGUUGGCAAUUUGAUCUCUGGUUCCUCUGCCUUUUCUAAAUCAAGCUUGAACAUCUGGAAGUUCUCUGUUUAUGUACUGUUGAAGCCUAGCUUGAAGAAUUUUGAGCAUUUCUUUGCUAGCUAUGUGAAAUGAGUGCAAUUGUGUGGUAGUUUGAACAUUCUUAUGCCAUUGCCCUUCUUUGGGAUUGGAAUGAAAACCGAUCUUUUCCAGUCCUGUGGCUGCUGCUGAGUUUUCCAAAUUUGCUGGCAUAUUGAGUGCAGCACUUUCACAGCAUCAUCUUUUAGGAUUUGAAAUAGCUCAGCUGGAAUUCCUUCACCUCCACUAGCUUCGUUCGUAGUGAUGCUUCCUAAGGCCCACUUGACUUUGCACUCUAGGACAUCUGGCUCUAGGUGAGUGAUCACAUCAUCGUGGUUAUCUGGGUCAUGAAGAUCUUUUUUGUACAGUUCUUCUGCGUAUUCUUGCCACGUCUUCUGAAUAUCUUCUGCUUCUGUCAGGUCCAUACUGUUUCUGUUCUUUAAUGUGCCCACCUUUGCAUGAAAUCUUUCCUUGGUAUCUCUAAUUUUCCUGAAGAGAUCGCUAGUCUUUCUCAUUCCAUUGUUUUCCUGUAUUUUUUUUCAUUGUUCGCUUAGGAAGCCUUUCUUAAACUCUCCUUGCUAUUCUUUGGAACUAUGUAUUCAGAUGGAUGUAUCUUUCCCUUUCUCCUUUACCUUUUGUUUGUCUUCUUUUCUCAGCCCUUUGUAAGGCCUCAUCAGGCAACCAUUUUGACUUUUUUCAUUUCUUUUUCUUGGGGAUGGUUUUGAUCACUGCUUCCUGUACAAUGUUAUGACCCUCCAUCCAUAGUUCUUCAGGCACUUUGUCUAUCAAAUCUAAAAGAUCACAGUCCCUAAAAGACCUUAUUGCUCAUGCCCUAAGUCAUGCCUGACUCUGCAACCUCAUGGGCUGUGUAGCCCACCAUGCUUCUGUCUAUGGGAUUCCUUAGGCAAGGCUACUGGACAGGGUCCCAUUACCUCCUCCACGGGAUCUUCCCAACUCAGGGACAGAAUCUGUGUCUCCAGCAUCUGCAGGCCAAUUCUCUACCACUGGGCCACCUGGGAAGCCCCAAAAGUCCUUAUUACCAGCCUGUUAUAAGGCAGUCAUGGAACCUGGAUGCUCUCAAGCAGCAGGCUGAAGGAAAGAGUCCUUGCCCACUCUGAAGAGCCUUUAGAGAACUCAGUGAUGGGCAUGAACCCCUUCUUAGAUACAAGACCUUAAAUGCUGCCAAGAUGUGGCAAGAUGGACUCUGCUGAGUCUCUGAGACAAGAUUUUCCACAGUUCCUUCUCUGCUCAGACCCCUCAGGUCAACCAGGAGGCCCACUAUCAAGGGACAAGCCUUCUUUAUUCCCCACUUACUUUCUGGCUCAUAGUUAAUCAAUAUAAUAGUAGGAGCCCCAAGAGAUGGUGGGAGGUCUUGCUAGUCUUUCCUGCAAUUAACAUUUCCUCAGUGUGGUUUUGAUCAGCAGUGGCCUCCUUUGUUAAAGGGUACCCAAGGGGCUCUGUGCCUCACCUACUUACAGAAUGAUGCAGAGCUCAGGAGGAACCCAGAAUAAGAUGAAGCCUUGCCAUUCAGGAAGCUUAAGAACAUCUGAGUGCUCCUCUCCCUCCUCCUGCUGGUUCACUAUCAAGAAUAAGAACAGCUGAUAUUUACUGAAUAUUGACAAGCCUCAGGUGCUGUGCUAAGUAUGUAUACAUUAUCCCAUUCAAUCCUUAACAGCAUCUUAGUGAAACAGUUACCUUUACAGUGUCCAUUCUGAAGUUGUAAAGCUGGGGCUUGGAGAGGAGAAAUCACCUGCCCUGAGCCAAAGAGCUGCUUCAGAGUAUUAGCUAUAUUUUGAAAUACAGAGUGACCCCCUCUUUGAGCCCUAGCUGGGUUCUCCAGAACAGACAACAGUUCUCUUCAGCAUCAGGGGAUUUUCCCAAGGGUAAGGGCAGCCUGGGCCGUGGGACACACCUUGUCAAGUUCCCCCAGGCCCCAUGGAAGCAUCUGAUGCUCCUUUUCAUUGCAUUGCCUCAUUUCCAUGGGGUAAGUGCACCCUGUCUUGGGAGGAAACAAUUACACCAGGAUGAAGCUCUUGCCUUCCUCUUCUCUCUCUAAGAUAAUCCAUCUGACACCUGACCAAGCUGCAGAGAACAAACGGGACUCAUUACAUCUUUGGAAAUUUCAUUCGAUUUUUAGAAUUGGGGAUGAGCUGGAAGACUGACAGCUGGAGACCUAGUUCCAGAGAAUUAUUUAAGCCUUAUGCCAGAAGAGAAAAGACUGUUUGGGACCUGCCAUUAAGAAUAAUCUAUAGCGGGGGUAGGAGUAGGUACUGGAUUUUAUCAGCAGCUCUCAAGCCAUGACUCCAUCUACCCCGAGUUGUAACUUUGCUGGCCUGUUUGCCCAACUCUGGUUAAGGGUCAGUGUUGGCUCUUUCGACACAGAGGUUUGGACCAGGUAGGGAAACAGAGGCUGUAUAGCUAACAUCACAGGAGGCACUUCUUUUUAAUCCGAGAUGACAGAGGCCCUGCUUUCAAUUGCCCCAUGAGCUUGGCUGUUACUACUACCCUCUUCUCCUGAAGUCAACAGAGGGAGCUGUCCAGUGAGAAGGUGGGUUUCUCAUGAUAAGAGGGGGAAAAAAUGAUACUGCCUUGAAGAGCCUGAGAACCACUGGCUGCAGGAAGGAGGCUCAGGUCUGUCCCAGGUCCCUCCUACCUUGUAACGUUUUGACUCAUGGAAUAACUUGCUGUUCUGGGCCACCAGAAUAAGCAAAUUUGUUCCAACUGGUUUGAAAUAUGUUCAGUUACAAAUCAAAAGAAAACUUUGGUCUGGAUUGUAAAUAACAGGAGAAUUACUAAUGUUUUGAUUAUAUCUGGAGCUCAUGCAUAGGACAAGUUCAUUCUGAUUAGGGAUUUGGGGCCCAGUUCACUUAAACAAGAGGCACCAAGUCCUCAGCAGGGGCCAGCCUUCAUCCGGCUACAACUUGCAACUUGCUUCAUCUGCAUCCUGCUUGGAGCCUUCCGGGGCCAAAUUAGUUACAGAAUAUUUAUGUUUUCCCUGAAAUCGUCUUCAAAUGCCUGGCACUCUUCCAAGGGACCUAAAGGGAUAAGGUAUUAGGGACACAGAUGCCUUAAGAAGGGGGGAAACACUAAUAAUACUAGUAAGAAUUAGCCAAGCUCCUAUUAUACACCAGUGAAGCCGCUCAGUCAUGCCCGACCCUUUACGACCCCUGGGACUGUAGCCUACCAGGCUCCUCCGUCCAUGGGAUUAUCCAGGCAAGAAUACUGGAGUGGGUUGCCAUUGCCUUCUCCAGAGGAUCUUCCCGACUUAGGGAUCAAACCCGGGUCUCCUGCAUUGCAGGCAGACGCUUUACCAUCUGAGCUACCAGGGAAACCACUAUAUCAGUGUCCUAAAGCACUUCACAUAGCUCCAUUUACUCUUAGUAACCCUAGGAGGCAAGUACCAGUAUUAUUCCUGUCUUACAGAUGAGGAAAGAGGGAGGUGACUGAACUUGUCCGAGGUCUCAGAGCUAUUUAAGUAGGUGGGGUUCUCAUCCAGGCUGUCUGGUUUAUGCUCUGAGCCCCACGCAAGAUUUUCUCCUCCUCAUGGAAGGAUCUCCAGUGGGGUCAGUGGGGGAGGGUCUGGGCAUGUAUAGGUCUCAAAUGAAAAGGGAUCCAUAUUCAGUCUGGUGUUGAAUUUGCUGUGGACAGUGUGCAGAAGACCAGAUAACAGAGGGACUAAUGGGCCCAUAGAAACCUGUUGUCUGAGGCCUGGGGAUCCCCUGACCACUCAAUCCAGCGCCAUAGAAGAAGACUGUGAUAACAGUAGCUUUAACACACCCUAGGAACUCCUGCGCUAUGCUAAGUCAUUUCAGUUGUGGCCAAUUCUUUGCAACCCCAUGAACCGUAGCCUGCCAGGCUCCUCUGUCCAUGGGAUUCUCCAGGCAAGAAUACUGGAGUGACUCCUAAAGGGCAAGAAUUAUUCAACUUUCUCUGAGCAACAGUCAUGAGAUCGCAUAAAUUACAGGGUGUGCGGACUCUGACCCUUCGUUUUAGAGAUGAGGUCGAAGAGGCCAAGUGAAUCAUGAAGUCCACGAGGUUAGGGCAGCAGAGCCUGGAUGGGAACCCAACUGCCUUCUGGCUUAGUCAGGCUGUCUGAUCAUGGGGUGUCUGAAGGCUGGGGGGUCAGAUAAGAGAAUACAGUGCUUACUGCUGAGGGAGGCUACUAGUGGUCAAGACCCCACCUUCUAGGAAAGAAACGGAGAUGUUUUUCUAAUUUGUGUCAGGAACUAGAGCCUGGAGGGAGAGUCAGUUUAUGCCAGCUCACAGGCCAGGUUGACUUCCCUGGUAGUUCAGACGGUAUUAGCUUCUGUCUGCAAUGUGGGAGACCUGGGUUCAAUCCCUGGGUCCAGAAGAUCCCCUGGAGAAGGAAAUGGCAACUCACUCCAGUAUUCUUGCCUGGAAAAUCCCAUGGAUAGAGGAGCCUGGUAGGCUACAGGGGUUGCAAAGAGUCGGACAUGACUGAGUGACUUCACUUCACAGGCCAAGUUAGGGAAUGAGCUCAUUGAUUUCUGUCCCCAAAUAUCCAGAUCACCAGAUACACAGGUGGUGGGGGUGGCUAGCUUAUAAAAGUCUGAGAGCUCAGACAUCUGUAGGCUAACGUAGAGCAGGAGAACUUCUCUUGCCUUGGUGGAAGUGGUCAAAGAAAUGCUUUCAGGGAGGGAUAGUGGCUAAUUUGCUCUUUCCUUUUCUCUUACAUCACCUCCCUGAACCAUUUUUGUUUCCUAAAUCUAAGUGACUUCAAGACAGAAAAUAAGUAGAAGCAAAUCGCCCUCAUAGUGAUUUGGGACCCUAACUUCUGCCCCAGAGUGAGGGUAGGUGAAGCCACUCCCUUCUCAGACUUGGUCGUUCCUAACACCCAAGAUAUGGUGGUCUGGAUAAUUCUGGGACCUGACAACUCAAAUAUAAUCAGCCUGUGGCCUUCUAAGAGUAUGAACUGCCCAUAAAAACCUGGCCUUGUCCCCAAGCGUUACCAAGUCCUUGGAACUAAAACCUGGAUCUUAACAGAUGCGCUUUUUUCUUUUCAGCUGAUACAUCUGCUCCCACUGACGUUCUCAUAUAAACUCAUGGAUGAAAGUGUUCCUGAUACAGUGGGACACAAGACAUAGAAGUCUGCAACAGGGAAAGGAAGCCCAUGGUGGCUUGUUGGUCAGGCAAGGGCUAUAUAAGUUCAUAAGAACUCAGGGUGGGUGUAAGUCUUACUGAGAGGAGAAUGUGGGCUGCUAAAGGCCUCUUUCACCUUUUGAACUGUGAGUGCCGUGGUGGCAAGCAGGAUCCAGAUCUCUGAAUCUGCUGAGCCUAGAAUAUGGUUUUUCCAGUAGUCAUAUAUGGAUGUGAGAGUUGGACCAUAAAGGCUGAGUGCCGAAGAAUUGAUGCUUUUGAGCUGUGGUGUUGGAGAAGACUCUUGAGAGUCCCUUGGACAGCAAGGAGAUACAACCAGUCAGUCUUUAAGAAAAUCAACCCUGAGUAUUGAAGGACUGAUGCUAAAGCUUCAAUACUUUGGCCAUCUGAUGUGAAGAGCUGACUCAUUGGAAAAGACCCUGAUGCUGGGAAAGACUGAAGGCAGGAGGAGAAGGGGACAACAGAGGAUGAGAUGGUGGGAUGGCAUCACCAACUCAAUGGACAUGGGUUUGAGCAAACAAACUCCAGGUGACAGUGAAGGAUGGGGAAGCCUGGCAUGCUGCAGUCCAUGGGAUCCCAAAGAGUCAAACGUAACAGUGCAACUAAACAACGAAGUAUAUGGCCUCCCAGACCCUCCACAAUGUUGAUGAGGCUGUGGGGACUGGGUAAGUUAUAACUUUCUUCUGUUCUCUAUUAGAGAAUGAGGUCAUUGAAAAUCAAGACCUGGAUGAGGAGUAGAUGGUCAUCCUUGCCCCCAAGGAAUCACUGAGGGACUCUCACAAUGUCCAAGGAGAACUCUGAACAUCUGGCCCAGUGGAAAGGAGGAGACUUGAGUCUUGCCCCUCGGCUCCAGGGAGUCAAAUGCAGAUAAUCUUCUUAUACCCAGACUCUUGAGGUCCAGACUUGUGCUAAGUAUUGACGGGGACCCUUUCUCCUUACCUGGGAACCUCCACUUUUAGGACUGGGAGCUGAGAGAAAAGGGUUUAUGGGCUUUGAACUGAAGGGAAAGAUCCAGAGAAGAUCCCAGGCCUGUCCCUUGCUUGGCAGGGUCAAUGAGAAUAGUUCCUUUGACUUUCAGUAGGGCAAGAAGAGGGAAGGUAGAUUUUACCCAGCAUCUCUCAAGAGGAGUACCUGUGUAUGUAUGUGAAACGGUCUAAGAACAACUCCACUAGCUUCAGAACAGGAAGAAUCUACCCAGGAAAGAAAGUCAUAUGGUGGAGAUGCCAUCCCACACUGGGCCACGAGAAGAUGCUUCCCAAGUCACUUUUCUGAUGCUUCCGUGGGCCUGUCAGUGGCCAUAGGUAUAAUAAUAAAGAUAACAAUAAAAAUAACAGUAAUGGAUCAUUUGCCAUGUACCAAAACCUUUGCAAAUAACUCAGUAAACUAUAAUAACUCUUUGUGGUGAAUACUAUUAUUACUCUCAUUUGGUCCCAUCACUUCAUGGCAAAUAGAUGGGGAAACAAUGCAAACAGAGACUUUAUUUUCUCGGGCUCCAAAAUCACGGCAGAUGGUGACUGCAGCCAUGAAAUUAAAAGACGCUUACUCCUUGGAAGGAAAGUUAUGACCAACCUAGAUAGCAUAUUCAAAAGCAGAGACAUUACUUUGCCAACAAAGGUCCAUCUAGUCAAAGCUAUGGUUUUUCCAGUAGUCGUGCAUGGAUGUGAGAGUUGGACUAUGAAGAAAGAUGAGCUCUGAAGAAUUGCUGCUUUUGAAUUGUGGUGUUGGAGAAGACUCUAGAGAGUCCCUUGGACUGCAAGGAGAUCCAAUCAGUCCAUCCUAAAGGAAAUAGGUCCUGAAUAUUCAUUGGAAGGACUGAUGCUGAAGCUGAAACUCCAAUACUGGCCACCUGAUGCAAAGAACUGACUCAUAGGAAAAGACCCUGGUGCUGGGAAAGAUUGAAGGCAAGAGGAGAAGGGGAUGACAGAGGAUGAGAUGGUUGGAUGUCAUCACUGAAUCGAUGGACAUGAGUUUGAGUAAGCUCCAGGAGUUGGUGAUUGACAGGGAAGCCUGGUGUGUUGUGCAGUCCAUGGGGUCACAGAGAGUCAGAUAUGAAUGAGCGACUGAUGUGUCAAGAAACCAAAACUUGGAAAGUUUAAAUAACUUAUGAAAAGUCAUAUAAUCAAUGAAAUACAGGUGCCAAGAUAUAUUUGAACCCAGGUCUGUUUGGCUGCAAACCCUGAACUAUUCGCUGUUAUACUCAUGACAUAUGAGAGUCUAGCCUACCAGAGCCCUAUGUCUACCUCCACAGUUGAGUGAGGUGAGACAGAGAGGAAGGCAUGGUUUAAAAAAAAGCGUUAGCAUCUUCUGUGCACACUCAUAUGUGCAGACUCAUGUAUCAUGUAUGUAGAAGAGUGUGUGUUUAGAUAAGCUACUUCUUUCAUUCUCCAUACAUUAGACAUUAUAAUGUGAACACUCCCACUUUGGGGGGCUUCCCAGGUGGUGCAAUGGUAAAGAAUCCACCUGCCAAUGGAGGAGAAGCAGGUUCUAUCCCUGGGUCGAGAAGAUCCCCUGGAAAAGGAAAUGGCAACCCACUCCAGUAUUCUUGCCUGGAAAAUUCCAUGGACAGAGGAGCCUGGUGGGCUGGAGUCCAUGGGGUCGCAGACAGCUGGUUUCAAGCACGCACACACUCCCACUUUUUAGGUGAAGUAUGCAGGUCACAAAGAAGCUAAAUAAUUUGUCUAAGAUCAUACAUCCACUCGAUUUCUUGAAUCUAUGUGGUUUGAUGCCAAAUCCAUGGCUCUUUCACUAUAACAUACUGUCACAAUAAUCAGAUGUACUCAGAGUCAGCUAGCAUUUAUUACACGCCCACCACAGGUUAAGCACUGUGCUAGGCUCUUUCACAAACAGCAGAUGGUUAUUCAUUGAUUGGUCUUCCAGUUCACUAAGCUGGGCUGCAGCUGCAGCAGCCUCCUAGUCAAGGUUAUAUGAAAGAAUAAAUCAGAGUAAUUCCUUUUCUUCUUCUUUCUAGGUAUUCUCAGUAGCUAAGUCCAAGCUAAAUAUUUCACAAAAGGGUGCUGUUGUCACCUGAAGGACCAGGGGAAAAAAGGAAAACUAGAUUAAGGUUGAAAAACUCAAGUCUCAAAGUCCCCGAUCCAAUGAUGGUGGGUCAGUAGUGUCUUCGUUCUCUUUGCUGGAUGCAUUCCUAAUGCCAUCCUAUUUCCAUUCUAGUCCACCUCACAUUUCUGAGGUGCCCUCUAGCUUUGCUCCUUCAAGGUAAAGAAGCAGGGAGGCAGUUGAUGAUGGAAGGAAGGAAAAAUUCCCUUGCUUCUAGAGCUCAUCAGGAAUUUAGGUCUGUCUUCCUCUUGACCCUUUGAGCCUCGAACUCUAAUUCUCCCAUGUCAACAUCAAUUGAAUGUAUUACCAAAGUCAUUGCUGAGAACCUGUCACACUAGCCCAAGAGAUCCCUGAGGAGACUUUGGAGCAGUGGUGAGAUGGUGAACGACUGAAGUGACUUAGCAGCAGCAGCAGCAGCAGCAAGUACGUAUCAGGCAGAAGAUCUGCUUGAUGGAGCCAAGCUCGAAAGUGGUGGGUGGGACUUGGAUAGAUGCUUCAUUUCCAAAGCCUGGGCUGUAACCCAAGGCUUCAGCAGAUUAGGGAGAUAUCAACAGAUGAAUUCUGUCUUCAAAGCUGUGACACUGCAGAGUGAGACUUGGUUAGAGAAGGAGGAAACCCCAGUGGAGGAAAGAUGGAAUCUAGUGAAGUUUUGUUGUUGUUGUUGCUGUUUUUGCUGCAGAUGGAUUAUUUGCUUGAGGACGGAAAACUAGCAACAGUGUUCUCAGUCUAGGAUCUGGGUGACUUCUUGCCUAGGCUGGCUUCACGGGUGUGCAAUUUGUAUAGAUACACAUGGCCCUGUGCUCAGCAGGGCCAUGUGCUUGGUUUAAUCCUCUGCUGUCAUUGUCCUGAAAUUCUUAAUAAUUGUAUCUUUGAACUUGUGCUUUGUAAGCAGUCUGUUGUGGGACAACGGGGAAUGCAUGAGUAGAGAAGACACGCACCAUAUAUGUAUUCACCAUUCCUCGCUGCCCCCAUGAGGUUGGCAGUUCCCCCAAGAGCACAGAAUUCCAGUGGGAGCCCAGUGAGACGCAAAGUCAGUCAAAGGUGAGUGUAUGAGGAAGGAGGGGGCACGGACAACAUCAAGCCUGCUGUUGGAACCAGAACUUGCUUGAAUGUAGAAAUAAGGCAGUGGGUUUGUAUGAAACACUAAUGACGAGGACCCCUACUUUGGCAUUUCUUCCUCGUGUUCCUUCCCUCUAUCUGCCAACCACCUAUGCUGAAAAGGAUGGCAUGGAAGGAAAGCGGAGACUAGAGCAGUCCACAGUUGCUUCUCCUUCCAGUCCUUCCUUCCUCAUCAUUCAGCUGAAGUCAGAGAUGCUGGUAGAACAUUCACAUAUUAGAAGUCAGAUGAAAGCAGUUGAGUUCGUUUUGUUCAACGUGCUCAGUGUGCUGGUAAGAACUAAACACACAUGCAGGUAUGACCUAUGAGAUACAAGUUGUGUGAUUUCAGUGAUUCUGCAAAUGAAUUAAAUGCUCUUAUAUUUUCAUUUAAAACUAGCAUUGCACAAUAUAAAGAUGGAUGGUAAAAUCCAUGCUAAUGAAAAUUUUUAUUUAGCAUGACAUGAAACUAGCAAAUAACAUGACAAGAGAGAGACUUAAGGAAAAAAGCUUUAUAUUUUAGUACCUUUAAUAACACUUUUUUCCUGCGUAUUUGAACGAGGGGCCCUACAUUUUUUUACUGGGCCCCAUGACUUAUGUUGCUGGCCCUGCUCCUUCCCUUAUUUUUCUUAAGAGAAACAGAGGCAAAGCACCAGGGCUAAUUCAAGGCAAUGAACGGAAAACUUGGACUUGAUUCUUCUCCUAAGCAGGUGGGCAUCCGUUUGCAGUAACAGCGGUCUCCAACGUCGAGUGCAGGGAGAACUGACACUCCUGAAUGAAUAUGAGGAAACCCCAGGCAAAUUCAGGUUCACCACAUAUACUCAGGGACGUCAGAUCCACCCCUAAACCAGAAGUGGUAUUUCUCCGUUGGCGUCUUCAUGCAGUGACAGAGAAGACAAACACCUGUUGACUUAAAGAACAGAGGAUCUUCGACUUCCUUCUGAAAGGAGUGAGUGACAGGAGCAACCCUACCGCCUCCGGGGCUGUGAAAGACUCUUCCCUUCCACCCCUGGACAAAAAAAGGAGGAGACAGUCUCAUGAACGAGGCCCUUGAGGGACGUGGAGAGCAGAUGUCAGGCCCGCUGACCUCUUUUUACUCCAGCGAUUCUGGAAGGAUGGGGUCGCCAUCUACUCGCUCCCUUUAGCUGCCUGGUGCUUCUUCCCCACAGCAGGCUUAGUGCCAAUCUGUGUCCCCAUCUCACGUCCCACCCCAUCUCUACGCCUUUGGGUUAUGCUAGCCAACAGGUGGCAAAGGGCACUGCUGAUUCUAACUUCUAAGCGCACCUUCCCCAGUCUCCCACCCCCUCUGCUGAAAGAGAUUCACUUCUCAUGAAAAUCUGGUAAACCUGCCAGCACCCCCAGGAGAAAAAAGUCACUAACUCACUUCUUUAGAAGCACAUUCCCCACCCCUCACUGGGUGGUCUUGACCACCACCAGCCCACCAAAGAAUCAUUGCGUUUUAUUGUUUCCAUAUUUCCCAGUGCAUUUUAACCAGACAUUCAAAUGGCACCCCAUGUCUAUAUUUAAAGGCUGUGGUGGAGGGACUCCCCACCCCCACCCCCCUCAGAAGAGACCUGUGUUCCACCUCCCAGAAGUGGCUGCUCAUCAGAGUGGAGGUGAUUCAGCUUUCCUAGAAGAUCAUUUGCAGGGGAAAACACAGUACUACUGCUCAGAGUGCUGCCUGCUUCCAGAGAUUUAAAAAAAAAAAAAAAUCACCAAAAAAACCCUGCUCUCAGACACAUGGAAUUCCCAUUGACGAGGUCUGACCAACACCAGGCGCUGAAUUUUUCCCAUUAAACUUAAAGCUCAGGAUGAAAGACGUGGGGGUGGGAGAAGGGGUCCGAUGUGGCCUUUUCAGCUCUCUGGAGGAUCUGAACUCUGCUCACCACCCCCCAAGGUCAAACGGCUGAUGUGCAAAAGUCCCCUCUGUCUGUCCCUCCACUUCCCCUGCCCAAGCUCUCCCUCCUCACGAAGAAGGACGCUCUUUGCCACAACACAAUGAAGCCCCGGUGGAUUUACCCAGAUUAGAGAACCC